GUCCUUGAAACCUGACCUCUGUAGCUUUUUGUGCCCAGUGGUCAGGCCGUCCCUGUCUCACUCCAACCAUUUCUGACAGGAAACAUGCUGAUCUCAACAGCAAGUCCUGGCACCUGAGACACACUGGGAUUACACAGAUAUUUCUGAGGUAUCCAUCGCAGUUACUUUACUGCAAAGAAAUAUGAAGGAGGAGUACUAAGGAGCCACUGAGAAGCAAGAGGAGCAGCAAAGCAAACAAGCCUGGACUCAAAAUCAUUGUUCUGGACAUUGUCAAUACCACUUCCAGACUGGAUGAUGCUCUUUUCUAAGGUCCUGCUCAAGCAAAUAAGAUCAUAACAGCA